UACAGAGGUGGCAAGCGUUGUUCGGAUUUAUUGGGCGUAAAGGGUCCGUAGGCGGUUCGGAAAGUCAGAUGUGAAAUCCCACAGCUCAACUGUGGAACUGCAUUUGAAACUUCUGGACUAGAGUAUGAGAGGGGUAAAGGGAAUUCCCGGUGUAAGGGUGAAAUCUGCAGAGAUCGGGAGGAACACCAGUCGCGAAGGCGCUUUACUGGCUCAUUACUGACGCUCAGGGACGAAAGCUAGGGUAGCAAACGGG
rnacentral:rRNA from 1 species